UUGUUUUCUCUAACGUUUUCUUUCUUUCUAUUUUCGUUUUUCUUUCCCUUUCCUUUCAUUUGUUACCAUCUUCCUUUGUUGUCGUCUCUUGCUAAUGUUUCUUCAUUGCCACCUUAUCUUUGUCGUGUCGCCAUCUAGAUUGCAUUUUCCCCAUUAAAUUCUGUUGAUUUAAUUAUGGUUGCGAUUCUGCUAGGGGUGGAUCGUGAGGCUAUACACUUCCGGCGAGUUGAGGAUUUUGGCAAUUUCUUUUCUCUUCAAGGGUAAGUUUUCAAAACAUAAAUUUAGGAGCUGGUUUGCAAUGAUUUAGCUUACGAAGGUCGAAUGCCUUCUAUUAAUGGCCGAAUGUUUUAGGAAGUUUAGGUUGAAUCAUUGUAAGUGGUUGUUAAUUGAUUGUUUGUGGAUGUCUUAUGUACAGAAUUUGGUGUGUUGCUGUUCUAUCGACAUCUCGGAAGUAAUCAGGUGUGUGACCCAAACUCAAAAACUCGUAAAACUGUGCGAAAUCGAUUCUGCCAGUCGAUGUCACACGACUGUGCAAGCCACAUGGGCAUGUUGGUCAUGUAUCCAGCCGUGUGGGUCACACGGGCCUAAUAGGUUGGGGCGUGUGGGCCACACAGACAUAUAAGCCCACCUCGGGCAGACUUGUUCGAAUAUAGGUUUUGGAAUAACAAUCUUUUUGUAUCUAAAAAAAUGGUUAUGAAGUAAUAGUCUGGUAUGUUAGUGUUGUAAGUAUAAUUUAUGAAAAUAUGCUAAGUUUUGUAAAUCUGAUCUAUAAAUCCAUACUUAUUGUUGGCAUGUUUUUGUUCUACUAUGUUCAUAUAUGAGCG
rnacentral:lncRNA from 1 species